rnacentral:lncRNA from 1 species
AAGCUAGUAUCAACUUAGCUGAGAUCUACAUAGAGGAUGACGAAGUCUCUAAAACAGCAGUUGGUCAAAAUGGAUCGGACAAAUGGGCAUCAGAAAGAAUAAUGUGGUAAAACUGAAAAAGGCACACAGAAAAGAACAACAAUCUGUGUACAACAUGAUGAACUGUUUAGAUCAAGUGGUCACUGUUGCUUACAGUAGCUGGUAUCAACUUAGCCAAAAUUGCAAGGACGAUGAUAGGGUCUCUAUAUGAGUUGGGCUUUGUGGUAUGAUCAAUGGACAUCAGAAUUGAGAAACUGCCUCUCUAUGGUGGAAAACUGAUCUGUGUGGAACAUGAAGAAUUGUCUUGAAUAGGUGGUCACGGUGGCUUACAGCAAUUUAGCCAAAAUUGGCAUGGAGGAUGGUAAAAUCUCAGUUGGCCUUUGUGGUAUGAUCAAUGGAAAUCAAAAUUGAGUAAACUGACUCUCUAUGGUGAAAAAAUGGUAGUUACAGUGGCUUGCAGUUAGCUGAGUAUUAACUUUGCCAACAUCUACCUGGAGGGAGGAUGAUGAGAUCUCUACAUCAGUUCGUAGUUCGUAGCCAUCAUGGAUGUUGGAUAUCACAUCUGAGUAGUAAACACGAAUCUGUAGGGUGGAGUAAUUAUAAUGUAUAAAGAUGCCCUGUGGAAUCAAGGAUAAAUGCUGUUAAGUCAAACCUAGUGUAAUGUACCAUACUAUAUUCUUGUACACUUCAACUUCAAUCCAAAGAGAAAAUGUAAAUUCACUGAAAGAGCAACUCGACAUCAAGACACAGAAAUCGCUACAAUACAGUACAGGUCUAUAGAAGAAAACAACACAUCUCUGGACACAAAAAAAGUGGAUUCAUAAAACCAGCCUUAGUACGAUUCCAAUAACAUGCCUCUGGCCACAGAAAUAAGUGUGUAGUGCUCACAGCUAGGCAUUCCUCAGUAACAAUCUUAUUUCAUUUGGAUGGGGGAUACAUUGAGAAACUGGUAGAAAAAUAAAGAAUUAAAGCUAAUUACAUAAUAAUACUUUGGUUGUAUAUUGAGGCCAGUCUGCAAAUUAGGGCAAAUAUUAAGCCUAAUAUUAAUAAUCUGUCUACACACUUCAAAAAUAUCUUACAAUACACAACCAUUGUUAUGAUUCUACGCACCUACCGGUAGCUAGUUUGGAGCAAAUUAUAGUAUUUGGAUGUAUCCCCCAUGCAGAUAAAAUACUUUAGAAUGUGGUUGGGACGGAAGUCGGCUACUAUUUUUGUAUGCAGUUACAGAUUUCUAGUUGUAGAUUUUUUAGGCUGAGCAUUCUCCCCACAGGCCCUAUUUACAGUCUGUUCUCUCAGUCUACUAUAGGAAUCCAAAUAAAAUAUUAGAGCUUGCUAUUGACUGUUGAACUGCUCUGGUUGCAGACUGUAAAAUAGGACCUGUAUAAUGAAUAUAUUCCUCGCACAAACACUUAGGCCUAAAAAUACAAUCGUGGCUUUAAAAUAAGGGAUGAUUUCCGCGUAAAUUUUGUAUAAAUUUUGGCUUUUAUGUUUUUAUACAACCAAUGCAUCACGCAGUGUUUGACAUGCAUGCUGCCCACAUAUUUUCCUAUCAAAUUUCCAUGGAAAUUUGAGCUAUUUUUAAUUCUAUAUAUCCUCACACAAGUAAAAUACUUUACACUACACUGUACAGUAUGGCUCUGGUAACUGAUAUGAAUACAUUUCACUUACUUUGUGCAAAAGAUUGCUAAAGUGAGUACCUACUAGUGUUGGUAUGUACCUGAGUGACUCCUGCACAUGCUUUUGUUUGUUUGUUUUUCUGUGUCACGUCCGUUGCCCGUGGCAUGCACACUUAAGUAUUUGUAUUCCUCAAUGAAUUUCAAGUUCCAACUGACUGACCCUUUCGAGUAGUAGGCCUACUCAACGUAAACGUAGCCUAGGCCUACCCUUCUUAAUCUUACUUAUCAAAGUACAGUUAACCAAGAAGCAGUAGGCCUAGUUACUAACUUCGGUAUUCCUGGCCCUACAAUUAUUAGGACUACGCAAGCCUAGACUAGCUACAGGACCACCAGGACAGGCCUCCUACUAAUACUAUUGCUAGGCUAGGCCUAGAACUGAUGCUAGGUAAACUCAAAGCGGCGUAGAGGUAGAGCCAGCCAAGAGGCACAGAAAAAGUGUAGGACCUCCUGUCUAGCUUUAAUGCUAGCCUAGCUAGUAGGCUAGGCCUUGAUUCCAAUAAGUUUCAUGUCACUAUUGUUGUAGUUACGUUAUUCAUAUAGUAACGUUUUAAGCCUAGCCUACACCACUCUUUUUUCUUUCUUUUUUUUUAAUAAUUAACUAAACUUACGUAAAAU